UUUUUCUUUUUUUAUUUCAGUAUAGUUGAUAUACAAUGUUACAUUAGUUUUAUAAUAUCUUUAUCCAUAGUAUUUCAAUUUAAAUUCAAAAUGAUAAUGCGUAUGAAUUGUAUACUUUCAAAAUCACCUUAUUUUCAAGUUUUGCUUAUAGGUUUUGAAAGUAAAUAUAUUAAUAUUUAUUAUUAUUAAUAUUUUAACACGUCUUUAUUCACAACCAUACUUAACCAGGGUAAACAGCCUACUAUUUGAUCUUCCAUAGGUUUACCUUUCUCCAAUUCAGUAUCUAUUCUAUAGUUAGAGAGCUACUUCCAAAACCAGAAGUCUGAUUAUGUUUCUCCUUGCAUUGGAAAUGCUUUCAUGUCCCAGAUAGUCCAAAGUCCUUUCCACGGUUUGCAGAUCAUUCCUUCCUGAUGUUUCCUCAUCUCUUCUAUCUCGCCUCCCUCCAUUCUCAAUUCUAUCUAUCCUAAAGCCCCAAAAUGCCAUUCUACGUUCCAGGUAUGUCAAACUUGUUUUAGUUUCCCUUUAACCAUGCAUCUUUGUGAAUGUUGCUUACUCUAUGUCUCUGUUUAUAGAUCCCCCCACCCCACUUCAACACCCCAUGUUCUUUAGGGUUAGUACUUAAUUUAAAUGUUAACUAACCCAAUGCCUUUCCUGAUCAACUCUACAGUCUCUCCUCCAACAGUAUGAGGUAGCUAUCCUUCCUUUUUCUCCUAAUAUACCCUGUACCUGCCACUCUCAGAGCACUUACCAGGGUUUAUUUUUACUUGUCAUUUACUUGUCUGCAAACUUCACUAAACUUCAGAAUCUUUGAGCUAUUGAACUAUCUUAUUUAUCAUAGUGUCUCUAGAACCUUGCACAGCCCUUAGCACAUAGUAAAUGUUACAUAAAUAUUUGCUAAAUGAAUGAAUGCAAAUUACUAUUUAGACCUUGGACCUAGUCAAAAUCUUAAGAGCAAUGUUAGAAAGAUCUUAGAGAAAAUACAUCUCAAGAUUGUUUCAAGGACUAAGUGAGGAAAACUCCCAAGCCCAAGAUUAUUCUGAACCUGUGGCUGUGAGAAAGGGGUUUUACCCACAGAAAAAGAGAUACUCAUGGUGAAGUAGAUCUUGAAAAAUAAAAUCUGGUAUAAUAAGUCCUAAUUAUUUUAGAAUGAAGACCUGCUAUUCCUGGAAAAGCUAAGCAGGUAGGUAUUAGUUUUCUUCAUAACAAAUGAAAGAAAGAAUUCAGCUAUACAAGGUAGAAACAAAGUUAACAUAUUUGUUUGGGGUAGGUUACUUGAAUAAGUAAAUUCUCCUCUUUCACCCAAUUUCAACCAUAAAAUAGAGGGAAAGAUUGAAUUUUUCUUCGAGAUCUCUGAUGACUGAUUUCUUUUUAAUGAGUCUAGAAGACAACUCUCACCUCUAUUACCUACUAUUGCAAAAUCUCCCUAAAGGUAUGUCUUUUUUCUGUUCUGAUACAUCCUCCACACUACUAAAACUUUCAUUUCUGAAAUUAAAAAAUAAUCAUAUCAUCAAUCAUUUAUACAUUCCAACCACUGCCUUAUACCUCCUUGAUGCUCCAGCAUGGACAUGGACUCAUGUUCAAUCAAUCAAAUAAUUUACCUCCUCUCCCUUGGAUUUGUCCAUGACCCAUCAGCUCAAAAUUUUGGGCAGAAUGAUUAGAAAAGAGAUACUUUCUUGCCACUGCUAUUAGUAGGCUGGUAGGAUAUCAGUCUUAUGUGCAUGUGGUAAGAGCCAGUCUGUAAAGGAAGAUGGUACAAAGAGAGCAAGGCAAAGAGGUAUAAUAAGGAAAAGACAUGUUCCUGAUUUCACUGUUUUGAGUACUCCGGUUCAGAUGUUAAUGCUAUCUUACAGUUUUCAGUUUUAUGAGUUGGUUUACUAUCACUUCAAUAGUCCUAUAUUAUAUUUAGAUUUUAAGGUAAAUCUCAACAUCUAUGUUUAACAAUGAGAAGAAAUGACACCUCUUUUAAGAUUGUUGUUAAAAUAAUGUAUGAAAAAUUGAAUAGCAUAUUGUGUUGACUUGCAUGGGCUUUCAAUACAUACUACCUUCUUUCUUUUCUUAUCUGAAUAUAUAUAUAUAUAUAUAUAUAUUUUCUAUCUGAAUAUAUAUACAUAUAUAUAUAUAUAUAUAUAUAUUUAUAAUCUUGGUAGUUCUAUUAUCCUUCCAUGGAAGAUCAAAGUACUGUCUAUAUUAUGAAAUAAAUUCACAAGGCAAAUGCUUUGUUAAAGUGUAGACUGAAAAGCUUAUUUAUGUGAACAAGGAAAAGUUUCAAGCUUGAGACAUGCUUGGGCUCCACAUUCUUUGAAUCCUGAUAGUCUAUAUUGCUGGCUGCUCUUUUACACUUACUAUCACAGUUAAUCCUCACGAUAAUCCUAUUAGAGAGGUCUUUAUUAUGCGUAUUCUUAGUGACUGAGCUAUAUUAGUUUCCUUGCUUUUUCUACCUUCUAGAGGCUGCCUGCAUUCCUUGGGCUCACACUGACCUCUGCUUCUGUCACUUUGCCUUGAUCUCUGACUUUGACAUCCCUGUUUCCCUCUAAUAAAGACUCUAUAAUCCCCGCCCCCCCAAGACUCUUAACUUAAUCACAUCUGCAAAUUCAUUUUUUACCGUUUCAGAAAACAUAUUCAGAGGUUUUAGGGAUUAGAAUGUGAACAUAUUAGGGAGAGAUGAGCAUCAUCCAGCCUAUAAUAUAACCAACAUUUAUAGAAAUUAAAAGACAUGUUCAUAGCCACAUAGAUGGUUACUAUGAAGGCUGGAUUUCAACUCCAGCCAGGAUAGUCUAAUUCCAAAGUGUGGGCUCUCAUCUAUCAUGUCUAUGAGAUGUAGCCAGUGCUUCAUGGCACACUCUACAAUAUGAUAAAAAUAUAGAAAACAUAGUAUAGAUUUACUCACUGUCAGUCUCAAGAAUAGUGUGGUCCUGCCUGAAGCUUUUUUUCUCAGCCAUAAGCUGUAGAAAAGUGAGUCUGUUACUUGGAGAAGUGCAUCUGUGUGCUUUCUCCAGGCAGUCAUGAGACUUCCAUGUCCUUAUGAUUUAUACUGUAUACAAAUCUUGGCACCCAGUUAGUUUCCUGUUGGCAAAAUGACUUCGCUAUAUACAUCAUUCUUAUCUUAAAUGUUUGUGAAAGUCAGUCAACAAGCAUUUAUCGAAUGCCUAAAAAAGCAUUUCACAUAAAUCAAUAUGCUAUAAGAUAAUCACUCAAAUGUCACCAAUAAAAGUGAAAUUCCUCAAAUGAAAGUUUUCAAAUGUAUAGAUUGUAAAAAUUCACACAUAAAAUAUGAUUGCAUGGCUAAAUUAUCCUUAAUGACCUGAAGCUUUAGAAGAUGUCUAAAUAUCUGUAUGUCUAUCUACCUACCUGCCCCCCCCACAAUACAUACAUGUUUAAGUAAAAUAUUUUCAGUGAAUCUAUUCAUUUUUUAAAGAUGUAACAUCUAACACAUGAUAGGAGCAAAAUAAAUAAUUAAUCAGAAAAACAUUUGCUGAACUAGGAGGUACUAUGAGUUGCAUUCUAAAGUAUAAAAAUGCACUCUACCAUUGAGGCCUCUUAGAAAUGAGAAUGCCAAGUUACAAAUUGUUUCCUGGAUGUAUUACACGCUGAUAAAGGAAACUUUAACAUCGAGCUCCAUCUGACUGGAAUGCUCUCUCCAAUCUCUUCGCCUAGUUAACUCAUACUGACUCCUCAAGUGUCACCUUCUCCAAGAAACCUCUCAUUCCCACAAAAUGAAUGAGAUGCCCCAUUUGCAUGCCAUCAUAGCACUCAGUACUUGCUUUUAUUGUGACACAGAUUAUCAUUCAGGUUAGCUGGCUAUGGAUCUGUGUUGCCUACUGUAACACGAUCUACAUGAAGACAAGGCUGCAUCUUAUCUACCGGUCUGUAGUUUCUAGCAUAGAGUCUGACUGGAAAGAAAGAAAAUGCUAUAAAAGCUAGAAGAUGAAAAGUCUAAUAGUGUAUAGAGACAUUUUAGUUUCCUGCAGCACUGGAAUUCUCAAUGCAAGUACUUCUCAGAACCAUAUUCUUUUUUUAUCCCCAGUUGAUGAAACCCCUGCACUUUUAGUGAUAUUAGUUCAGAAUGUGGGAAUCAAUGUUUUUCUCAAGUGGAGGCAUAUAAAUUAUAAGCAUAAUUCUUUAUGGAUAGUAAUAAAAAUACCAAUUAUGUAAGAAUCAUGGCCCAGUAAGAAAUUAAGCUUUUCAAAUUAGCCAGUAUUACUGGCAGAUGCACGCCAGCCCUCACCCCUUAGGGACUUGGAGACCUAGGGAAUGCACAUGGAAAUAGGCUGCAUCUGUUCCAGUUCUGGGUGGUCAAACUCGCUUCUAAAAAUAUUCUCUAUCCUGGAUGAAAUACGUUAAUAAUGUAAUCUACCACAUUCUGUAGUGGGGUGUGUGCAUCUAUAUUUGAUUUUCAUCUGCCAAACUUUAAAUGACACAAAAUGUCAGAAAAAGCUUUAGAGUUUUGUCCUGUGCAGAAGUAGAAAUACUGGAAAUAUUGGCCUUAGAGACAGAGGGAACAUUUAUAAAUCUACAUUAUGUUCAGGAGAGAGAAAAAAAUGGCUGCAGCAUAAAAUGAAAUUGGACUGGUAGGUGUUGAAUAUUGGAAGUUAAGUUUGGAAAGGUGGAUUGGACCUUGAUAUUAAACGGCAUUGCAAACCAAGUUAAAGAAUAAAUGCUAACCAAAAAUGACAUAAAAGGAUUUUUAAACAUAUUUAGUAAUUAGUUACUGUUUAAAAGCCAUUUAAGGUUAAACUGUUUUGCUGAUUUGUCAAGCCUCUUUAAUUUAACUACUUCCCAUUGUUCAUCUUUCCAGAACACUGUCUUUGCUGUUAUCUGAUAAUAAAACAUACAUAAGAAAUUUCACACAAAUGUGAAAUAUUCCAGGCCCAGGCUAAGAGCUAUCUCGUGUGUGAGACAACACUAAAUUCUCACUCAUUAAGUAUCCCUCUAAUAUUCUUUCUAUUUGAAGUUUCUUGAAAGUAUCAUACUUUUUAAUAUAGUUUUGUUUACACCUGUCUUUCCUACUAGAAUAUGAACCCCUUAAACAUAGAAGACAUAUCUAAUCUCCAGGGACCGCAAAAAUGAAAACAAUAUUAAUAAUUGUCAAUAACUACGUAAUGUUUACCGUAUGAUAGGGACAUUUCUAAGCAUGUUACAAACUCAUUCAGUAUUUUGAGAUAAUAAAAAUGUGACAGAGAGAGGCACAAGAUCAUAUAUUUUGGAUGAGUCAGAUUAUUAUCCAAAAAUUCUGGCUACAGAGCUCUUGUUCUUAAAUAUAUGUGAUGUUUCUUUACCAAAACCAGGGAUGAUGUUUCAUACAUGCUAUAAUCAAAUAAGGAUGAUGAUGAUGAUGAUGAUGACUGAUGAUGCUGUCUAUUUACCCAGUCUUACCCUUAAAAAAUAUAAGUGAUUUAUUAAAACAAAUAUUUACUAUGGUAUGUUAUAGUUCAAAUAGUUUGUAUUUUCUCAGGACUCAAAAGCAAAGCAGUCUCUGCUCUUGUAGACCUUUUAGUCACAAGAGAUUAUAUAUCUAUAAAAUGUCAUUUACAAAUAAACUCUUACUCAUUUAAAAUGGUAUCAAUAGCCAAAUUAUGUCUUCAGUCAAAUUUUUAAUGACAAACAUAUACCUGGAUUACUGCUGAUUAUUUUAGUGAAUUCCUAUAUCCUUUUGGACAUUUUAUUGCUACCUGGCAUUAUCAAGAAAACAAAUUUUAGGGCUGUGUGUUUGAGAAAUUUUAACAAAUUACUUCAGAGAAAAUUGUUUCCCUGUUCAUCAGGUUUUAUAUAUCAGAAAGAAUACCUAAACCAGAUAGAAAUUCUUCAAAUGCAAGAGGGAAUGAUUUUAGUCCCAGAAGCAAGUCUUUGAUACAACAAUUCUUGACAUUUGAAUUCAUCACAAUAUAACUGCUUGGGAAAUAGCUGCUUACCUAUCAAACUUAAAUGUACUCUCUCAUUCAUAAGAAGUGUUCAAUCACAUGUUAGUUUCUUAUGUUUCCAGUUCAGUACCAGAAAUAAGCCAUUAUUUUGCUCUUGAUUUAAAAUACAUAUUUAUGCACUUCUUAUGAAUUACUUAAUUUGGUGUUAAAUGAAAUACGGAUAUACUGGUACUGAAAAGAGUUCUUUUUGAAAGGUGAGAGGUAAAAGAAUCAAAACCCAUGGCUGCUUCUUUGGACCCAUUAAAUGGUUGUUCAGUUUCACCCACACAGCUAGUUAAUGACUAGUUAUUUCCAGACUAAAUUUCAAAAGGUCCUUUAUAGUAUUUUUCUAAAAUCUCCUAUAUUAUUGUUCUCUCUAAUAUGACUACCAAUCAGAUGCUGCUUAAUUGAGGUAACAAACACAUGUGUCAAAUGUUUUCAAGAGAAAUAUCUCAACAAAUCCCAUAUACUUCAUUUAAAAACUCAAACUAAUUUUAAAAUAUAUUAAGUAACCAAACAUAAUAUCAAAUACCCUUUCCACUUUAAAAACAGCAUGUUUACAUAAAAAUGCACUUGUCUAUACACAAUGACUUGGUCUCUCACUUUGCAAUUUCUGUAUUUUCUAUGCAUUGAUUUAAUUUCUCUUCCACUUUUAUUCAUUCUAAUUUCUCUAGGUUUUCAUGGGCCAUUUUCAAAAACUCAUAACUUUUUUAUUUUAGUAUAUUCACAACUGAUACUUAGAAUGUAGGUUAUAAUUGCUCAACAUUAUCAUAUUUGCUUGUGGUGAUACCAAAUAGCAUUGUCUCAUUUGCAAAAUGAGUACUUAAAAGAAAAAUGCUACAGGAACAAAUCAACUUUAUUAUAACAUGUUAAUAGGCCGGUAAGGUGGUAUUGAAUAAGUCUACUUAAGUCUACUUUAACUCUUAUAUUUCCUUUUGUAUUCUCCAAAGGAGAUGGUUAAAAAUGUAUUGCUAACACAUCUGUGUAAAAGAAAACUAUUAAAUAGACAUUAAUAUAAAUCUGUUUCUAAAUCAUAAUUAAAACUUAUAUGUAAUUGUAUUUUCAAUGGCUCUCCCAAGAUAUAUUGCAUUAUUCAAUGAAGUAAUAUGAGAGAUGAAAACACCAACAAUUCCUCUUGAAUAAGCCAUCUGAUUUAUUAUACAUUUAAGUCAAGAAUAAAUUCUUUCUGCUGUAUUGCUUCUCAGCUAAGUUACACAGAUUCAUAAGGAGCAUAGACCCACAGAAUGUCUAAAUUAUUUAUUAGAAAAGAAACAAGAUUUCCCUUGGUUUAUGUUAAAACCUGUGACUUCACAGUGAUGGUUUUUCAAAUUGAAUGAUAUGUGAAUAGCGACAGAAAAUGCCAACUGCCAUUAAAAUUGUCAAAUCAACUAUCAAAAAAUACUCAGUUUGCAAUUAGCUCCCAGAUACAAUUAAAUUCUAGUAAACUUGAUUAUUAAAUGUGCAUACUACAAUACUAGGAAACCUAACAUUUUCUGACUGGAUUUUAUUACUUUGAUACAUCAAAGAAACUAAAUACUUAAUACCAUUCAAAUUCUGGAACAAGAAUGAAUCAUUCAUUUCCAUAUUUCUAAGGAUUAUAUGAGAAGAAAAUUUCAGAUGCAUUCCAUAUUUUUCAUGGAGUGCUAAGAAAUUUUAAAAAUAUAAAAUCUAAGCAAAUUACAUUGUUUAUAGAAGUUAAAAUCCAUUGUCCCUGUCAAGCUAGCUUUCCUAUUUUUCCUUCUUUUCUUUAUUCAUAUGGAUCCUCAUUUUCCUCUAAGAUAUGAUUCAUUGACAACACAAAGACUGAGCGUUCUCCAAAUUACUUAAUUCAAUUAUUUUUGCCACUUUGCAGAUUAAACUGUUUCACCUCUCAUUUUAUUUAGUGAUGAAUAAAUAAAAAUAUUUCUCUAUGAACUUCAUCUGCAGGUUAAGAGUAGAAUAUCAUAAUCCCCAUAAGUCAUAGGUUUGGUUUCUAACGUUGAGAACUGGGGUACCAGAAUAUCUACUUUUAAAAAAUGCAUCAUAUUAAGAGAUAUGUGGUCACUUACCAGUCAGUUUACACCUUAUCACCCAUCUCCAAACAAAAUCGACACU
rnacentral:lncRNA from 1 species